rnacentral:rRNA from 1 species
GACGAACGCUGGCGGCGUGCUUAACACAUGCAAGUCGAACGGAAAGGCCCCUUCGGGGGUACUCGAGUGGCGAACGGGUGAGUAACACGUGGGUGAUCUGCCCUGCACUUCGGGAUAAGCCUGGGAAACUGGGUCUAAUACCGGAUAGGACCACGGGAUGCAUGUCCUGUGGUGGAAAGCUUUUGCGGUGUGGGAUGGGCCCGCGGCCUAUCAGCUUGUUGGUGGGGUGACGGCCUACCAAGGCGACGACGGGUAGCCGGCCUGAGAGGGUGUCCGGCCACACUGGGACUGAGAUACGGCCCAGACUCCUACGGGAGGCAGCAGUGGGGAAUAUUGCACAAUGGGCGCAAGCCUGAUGCAGCGACGCCGCGUGGGGGAUGACGGCCUUCGGGUUGUAAACCUCUUUCAGCAGGGACGAAGCGCAAGUGACGGUACCUGCAGAAGAAGCACCGGCCAACUACGUGCCAGCAGCCGCGGUAAUACGUAGGGUGCGAGCGUUGUCCGGAAUUACUGGGCGUAAAGAGCUCGUAGGUGGUUUGUCGCGUUGUUCGUGAAAACCGGGGGCUUAACCCUCGGCGUGCGGGCGAUACGGGCAGACUGGAGUAUUGCAGGGGAGACUGGAAUUCCUGGUGUAGCGGUGGAAUGCGCAGAUAUCAGGAGGAACACCGGUGGCGAAGGCGGGUCUCUGGGCAGUAACUGACGCUGAGGAGCGAAAGCGUGGGGAGCGAACAGGAUUAGAUACCCUGGUAGUCCACGCCGUAAACGGUGGGUACUAGGUGUGGGUUUCCUUCCUUGGGAUCCGUGCCGUAGCUAACGCAUUAAGUACCCCGCCUGGGGAGUACGGCCGCAAGGCUAAAACUCAAAGGAAUUGACGGGGGCCCGCACAAGCGGCGGAGCAUGUGGAUUAAUUCGAUGCAACGCGAAGAACCUUACCUGGGUUUGACAUGCACAGGACGCCGGCAGAGAUGUCGGUUCCCUUGUGGCCUGUGUGCAGGUGGUGCAUGGCUGUCGUCAGCUCGUGUCGUGAGAUGUUGGGUUAAGUCCCGCAACGAGCGCAACCCUUGUCUCAUGUUGCCAGCGGGUAAUGCCGGGGACUCGUGAGAGACUGCCGGGGUCAACUCGGAGGAAGGUGGGGAUGACGUCAAGUCAUCAUGCCCCUUAUGUCCAGGGCUUCACACAUGCUACAAUGGCCGGUACAAAGGGCUGCGAUGCCGCGAGGCUUAGCGAAUCCUUUUAAAGCCGGUCUCAGUUCGGAUCGGGGUCUGCAACUCGACCCCGUGAAGUCGGAGUCGCUAGUAAUCGCAGAUCAGCAACGCUGCGGUGAAUACGUUCCCGGGCCU